AGCGAACGCUGGCGGCAGGCCUAACACAUGCAAGUCGAACGGACCCUUCGGGGUUAGUGGCGGACGGGUGAGUAACACGUGGGAACGUGCCUUUAGGUUCGGAAUAGCUCCUGGAAACGGGUGGUAAUGCCGAAUGUGCCCUUCGGGGGAAAGAUUUAUCGCCUUUAGAGCGGCCCGCGUCUGAUUAGCUAGUUGGUGAGGUAAAGGCUCACCAAGGCGACGAUCAGUAGCUGGUCUGAGAGGAUGAUCAGCCACAUUGGGACUGAGACACGGCCCAAACUCCUACGGGAGGCAGCAGUGGGGAAUCUUGCGCAAUGGGCGAAAGCCUGACGCAGCCAUGCCGCGUGAAUGAUGAAGGUCUUAGGAUUGUAAAAUUCUUUCACCGGGGACGAUAAUGACGGUACCCGGAGAAGAAGCCCCGGCUAACUUCGUGCCAGCCGCCGCAGUAAGAC
rnacentral:rRNA from 1 species